AGCGAACGCUGGCGGCAGGCCUAAUACAUGCAAGUCGAGCGGCAAGUUGAGAAGCAAUUCGAGACCUAGAGCGGCGUACGGGUGCGUAACGCGUAUGCAACCUACCUCAUACAGGGGGAUAGCCCGGAGAAAUCUGGAUUAAUACCCCAUAGUACAUAUAGAGGGCAUCUGAAAUAUGUUAAAGAUUCAUCGGUAUGAGAUGGGCAUGCGUCUGAUUAGCUAGUUGGCGGUGUAACGGACCACCAAGGCGACGAUCAGUAGGGGUUCUGAGAGGAAGGUCCCCCACACUGGCACUGAGAUACGGGCCAGACUCCUACGGGAGGCAGCAGUAGGGGUUAUUGGGCAAUGGUCGGAAGACUGACCCAGCCAUGCCGCGUGCAGGAAGAAGGCCCUCUGGGUUGUAAACUGCUUUUAUCUGGGAAGAAAAGGCCCGUGCGCGGGACAUUGCCGGUACCAGAUGAAUAAGCACCGGCUAACUCCGUGCCAGCCGCCGCGGUAAAAC
rnacentral:rRNA from 1 species